AUUGAGCGCUGGCGGCAUGCCUUACACAUGCAAGUCGAACGGCAGCACGGGGCAACCUGGUGGCGAGUGGCGAACGGGUGAGUAACGCAUCGGAACGUACCUUUCAGUGGGGGAUAACGUAGCGAAAGUUACGCUAAUACCGCAUAUUCUGUGAGCGGGAAAGCAGGGGAUCGCAAGACCUUGCGCUGAUUGAGCGGCCGAUGUCAGAUUAGCUAGUUGGUGAGGUAAAGGCUCACCAAGGCGACGAUCUGUAGCGGGUCUGAGAGGAUGAUCCGCCACACUGGAACUGAGACACGGUCCAGACUCCUACGGGAGGCAGCAGUGGGAAUUUUGGACAAUGGGGGCAACCCUGAUCCAGCCAUGCCGCGUGAGUGAAGAAGGCCUUCGGGUUGUAAAGCUCUUUCGGCCGGGAAGAAAUCGCACGGGCUAAUACCCUGUGUGGAUGACGGUACCGGAAUAAGAAGCACCGGCUAACUACGUGCCAGCAGCCGCCGCGGUAA
rnacentral:rRNA from 1 species